rnacentral:rRNA from 1 species
AGGAUCAUCAUUGAAAAAACUUGCACGGGUUGUUGCUGGNNNCAGGGCAUGUGCACACCUGUCAUCUUUAUUUCUCCAANNGUGCACGUAUUGUAGACCUGGAGUUUUUGAAACCGUUUCGAGUUGGGGAUUGCUGUGCUUCAGUUGAAGUGGGCUUUGCCUUACAUUUCUGGGUCUAUGUCAUUUCACAACCUCAUUGAGAAUGUCGAAUCUGUACCUAUAAAGUUAAAUAUACAACUUUCAGYAACGGAUCUCUUGGCUCUCGCAUCGAUGAAGAACGCAGCGAAAUGCGAUAAGUAAUGUGAAUUGCAGAAUUCAGUGAAUCAUCGAAUCUUUGAACGCAUCUUGCGCUCCUUGGUAUUCCGAGGAGCAUGCCUGUUUGAGUGUCAUUUAAGUCCCUCAACCACAUCGGAUUCGUCUUGAUGUGGCUUGGAUAAUGGGGGUGGUUUGCAGGCUUCUCUGAAGUCUGCUCCCCUGAAACGCAUUAGUGGUGUCUGAGCAGAACUACACAGGUGUGAUAAUUAUCUACAUCUUCGUAUGCUGCGAAAAUAAAACAGAUUGAGCCGCUUCUAACGAGUGAAGCCUCCCCCCCUCCCGGGGAGCCACGCAUUUGAUAAAUUUGACCUCAAAUCAGGUAGGACUACCCGCUGAACUUAAGCAUAUCAAUAAGCGGAGGAAAAGAAACUAACAAGGAUUCCCCUAGUAACUGCGAGUGAAGCGGGAAAAGCUCAAAUUUGAAAUCUGGCAGUUCUUCGCUGUCCGAGUUGUAAUCUAGAGAAGUGUUACCUGUGCUGGACCGUGUACAAGUCUCCUGGAAUGGAGCAUCAUAGAGGGUGAGAAUCCCGUCUUCGACACGGACUGCCUGUACAUUAUGGUGUGCUCUCGAAGAGUCGAGUUGUUUGGGAAUGCAGCUCAAAAUGGGUGGUAAAUGCCAUCUAAAGCUAAAUAUUGGCGAGAGACCGAUAGCGAACAAGUACCGUGAGGGAAAGAUGAAAAGAACUUUGGAAAGAGAGUUAAACAGUACGUGAAAUUGCUGAAAGGGAAACGCUUGAAGUCAGUCGCGUUGGCUAGAAAUCAACUUUGCUUUUGCUUUGUGUACUUUCUGGUUCGACGGGUCAGCAUCAAUUUCGACCAUUGGAUAAAGUCUUUGGGAANNNGGCNUCUUUGGAUGUGUUAUAGCCCAUUGUCGCAUACGGUGGUNNNNNAUUGAGGAACUCAGCACGCCGCAAGGCCGGGUUUCAACCACGUU